rnacentral:rRNA from 1 species
CUACGGGAGGCACCAGUGAGGAAUAUUGGACAAUGGUCGAAAGACUGAUCCAGCCAUGCCGCGUGCAGGAUGACUGCCCUAUGGGUUGUAAACUGCUUUUAUACGGGAAGAAAAACACCUACGUGUAGGUGACUGACGGUACCGUAAGAAUAAGGACCGGCUAACUCCGUGCCAGCAGCCGCGGUAAUACGGAGGGUCCAAGCGUUAUCCGGAAUCAUUGGGUUUAAAGGGUCCGUAGGCGGGCUAUUAAGUCAGAGGUGAAAGUUUGCAGCUCAACUGUAAAAUUGCCUUUGAUACUGAUAGUCUUGAAUUGUAGUGAAGUGGUUAGAAUAUGUGGUGUAGCGGUGAAAUGCAUAGAUAUCACAUAGAAUACCGAUUGCGAAGGCAGAUCACUAACUAUAUAUUGACGCUGAGGGACGAAAGCGUGGGGAGCGAACGGGAUUAGAUACCCCUGUAGUC